AUUCUAAUUUCCUCAUUUCUCUUUUUAUUUACUAGGGUUUGGAUCUGUGUUUAAUUUGCCAAAAUGAUGACCAUGCCUCAUUUUCUCUCUUUCUUUCGCUUCUCUUCUCCGCCAUUUGUAGUUUUUUUUACCAAUCCUAAUUAUGGGCACCGCCAUAGACGCAGCUGUGACGGCAUAGCAGGCGGUGGUGCUAUCGUCGCCGACGAGCUCGAGGUCAGUGACGCAGACGAUAAACGGAUCGCACAAGUUCUACCAAUACAAGGAGAACAAGCUUUCUUGGCGCUGAUGAUCUGCAUUUCAAGGACAUUCUUCUCUUUUCUUUUUGAUUAGUGAUAGAAGAGAUAUGGAGGUUUUGGGAGGCAUAGAAUGGGAAGCAAUCAUUGGGUUCUUCUUUUCCGAGGCCAGCUAAAGGUAUGUUUCUGAUUAAAACCGUGUAUAGAUUCAUUUAUUGUAAAUUGUUGAAAAGUAUUUCUAUUUAAGGAUUAUAUCUCCUAUUUAGGGAUUGUAUAUUCUGUAAUUGAUUCAGAUUUGAUUUGUAUUUUGUUAUAUUAGCGUUGUGGAGCUGAUCAACUAUGACACUGGGUACGAUGAAAUUAGUGUGAAUUAUGAGGAGAUUUAAUUGAUUCUUUCUGGACAUAAGAUGAAUAAGUUCAUGUGAUUGUUAAUUCAUGUGAUUGUUAAUUCUUCAAAUAAAACGAGCAGCCUCGGAUUAACACAGUUGUCUCAGGUAUUUCACAUCAUUUGCUAAUUUUCAAUGUAACUAUCAAAGAAUACAGUGGUUGUUUCUUAAGAGAUCUAGUUACUAAUUUGAUUAUAGUUUUAUUCAGUGUUACUGUGACAGGCUUGAAUCUGCUUAUCCUAUACAUUUUGGCUAAUUUAGAUUUUUCAAUUGAAUGAACCAACUAUUCUACUAGUGGUCUAACUGUGACAUGUAAAUAAUUGUUGAUUGAGUUUACCUUUUGAAACUAUUUUGUUUUUUGGCAUGUCUUGUCAGACAAACAUGAUACAAAUUUGAAAUGAGAAGAAGAAAGAAUUUUAAAUGUUUUGUUUUUUGGCAAUGCCUUUUUCUCAACCGUACAUAACUCAAAAGCUUAUGAUUAGCAGCUUUUGGAGUUGUACAUCUGCUUUUAUGAUCCAUUUUAGUAAAACUGUGUACACUUGUUUCAGGUAACUGUUUGUCUUACUUGUGGCGAUGAGGGCUUUCCGGAGUUGUUGGAUUUUUGUGAAACGUGUCAGGUUUAUACAGUGCAUAGGUUUGAUGGGUUGAAAAUGUUGCACAUGCUAAGAAGUAAGAGGCUGGUGUUCGUAGGGGACUCUUUGAAUAGGAACAUGUGGCAGUCCCUGGUUUGUGCAUUGAGGGCGUCUCUGAAAGAUAAGAGCAAAGUCUAUGAAGUUUUGGGACGGCAUGAAUUCAGGAUUCAAGGUUUUUUCUCUUUCAAAUUCAGAGUUUUGUCUCGAUUUUGCAGGCUCAUGUAGAGUAUGAAAUAGCAAAGAGGCAUUAUGCUCAUUUUGAUUGCCCAGGACAUGCAGACUAUGUUAAGUUUGCUGCAAAACAUGGAAAGUAGGCCCGAUCCACUGCUUCCUGUAAUAUGUGGACCUGUAAACAUGUUAGUAUGUUACGGGAUAGAUGGUUUGAAGGGCCUCAGGAUUCACACGCUUGUAGAUGUUGGAUACUUUGAUUUGAAGCACGCAAACUAAGUUGUCGAGCGUUACAAUAGCAUGCCACACUUAAUGCAUAGAAGUGAUUCUGGAACGCGGAGAGAUGUUGGAUGGCAUUUUAUACCAUUUACAAUAAUUCUUUAAUGGAUCCCUUAUUUAUUACAUACAAGAUGUUGCUUUGAAUGCAGUGUUUGUAAAAUCACAUUUAUUUACUGCAUCCAAUUGAGAAUUAUGGUUAUUUUGUGCUUAUACAUUCAGAAGCUAACUGAGAAUGCCCUUGAUGAUAAGCAAAUUUGUCAAUAUGAACUUUGUAAUCCCUUCCUUAAGCUGUAGUGGGUUAUAUAUCAAACCUAGUCAUUUUUGGAUUUUUGCCUUAAAGUUCCUUUAGUCUUGUACACAUACUAUACGGUGACUUACCUCCCUGCCACU